CACACCCCUGUGUGAAUCAUCUGAUGAGGGAAAAGUCAGACCCCAAUUAGAUAAAUGGGAAGUUGGGGCACAGCAGCAUGUGGUCUCGCUGACUUGCCAAAACAAGGUCCAAAAGGGGCUUUGGACCCAAGAUUGGAUCAUAAGAAGAUAGUCCAAGACUGUAAAACCCAAAGAGGGAAGGAUGUACUGAGCCUUUCAGAGGCUUCCAGGACUGCAAACCGGCUGUCACCAUAGCUGUGGUUGUGACCACUCUUAAAUAAAUUACUUUUGUGUGUGCCCACCUCCCCUCCCCUCCUCUGUCCGGUGGCCUCACUGCAGGGUGGCAGAGCUCCUGUGGCUGAGGAUUGUGUGAGUUGGCUUGUGCUACAAGAGAUUGCGGGAGCCACUGGGUACGGUGAUGGGAGACUUGGGAGAGACACAAAGAUCUGGCCCCCCCUUUAAGAGGUUUUCACAUUAAAAAAGAAAAGAAAAGUGCUGUAUCGUGUUCAUCUCUAUGACUUUAUAUGAUAUUUAUCAGUAAAUCCAAUCCUGGAGUUUACUUUUUUGUAAAUCAAAAAUCAUCACUUGGGAUGUGACCGUCAAUAAAAUCAAAUUGCCAGCCCAAGCUUAUUACAGAACAGGAAGGAAAUUUAACGGUAGGAAUACUUUCAUGGAACCCAGGACUGGCCAAUGAGACUAAAAUAGGGAACUUUAGCUUGGACCAGUGACAAAGACAAGACUUCUCUUUCUACUGGACUUGAAUCUAGACACGCUUGGGGGCUGUCAUGCAGAGAAAAUCUGUCAAUGAGAGUGCCCAACAGAAGAAGGUGAUAUCAAAAGACAAAGAAAAACAAAGCACUAUUGACAUCAUUUGAGCUUCUGGAAUUUUCCAUUGGGUUAAUUAAUGACCCUCCCUCUCCACACAUAUAUGCAUUUGUUUGUUUUCUGCUUUGUUUUGUGUUUUGCUUAAAUCAGUUUAAAUUGAGUCUCUGUCACUUGCAAGAAAAGUCCCACUGGACAAACAACUUAGAAUUUUUUUUUUCUUCAAAAAUCACCAUGGACCCCUUCAACAGUGGGGCUGCUAUUUGAACACACCUGUUUGUGCCUUGACCUCACUCUUUUUUAUGUACAGACAAGGCAAAUCCUUUCCUGUCACUAAACACACCAACUCUCCACGCCACUGGCUUGCCCUUAAUGAUGCCGCCUGCCUCUCUCUAUACCAAUUUGUACCCUGUCCCUCCCACAGCACAGGACCUGCUCCACCCACCGUCCUGCUUUUCUAACACUGUCUACUCAAGUGAUCUUCAGCUACAAGACAGUAAACUUGACACUGAUCACAGUUUGGCAGCACCUUGCAAGGCAUUCCAGCUCACUGGCGCUCUGAAGUCACGCUUAUCUCCUCUUCCACUUCCCCUUGCUUUUUCCUAUUUGCAGUCGACAUAUAAAUUAAGGGUUUUGAACUACUGUAGCAAUAUGCUCAUACGCAGAUGCAAUCACCAUUCUAAAUGAUGGCUUUGCUCAUCCCCUGCUCGUCUUUAGAGAAUAAAGCCAGGCACGGUGGGAAUCCUCACAGUGCCAUCCAACCCAAAGUUCCUACUAUUCCGCAGGGGUUUGCUGGUGGUGUUUGUAAAAAUUCACAGAGAACUUUGCCUAAAACCUCCCAGUGGGGAAGGUAGAUGCAUGCAGAUGUCCUGAACCCCUCUCAAUGUCCUCUUGCACGUCACCUCCUCCUCCCCCGCUGCUCCUCUCCACUCGCUGACAUUCCAAAACCUUUCAAACAGUCAGGAACAUGGACAAAAGGAGGUGCCUGGUUACAUGCCCUGGGUAGGAUUCAUGCCUAUGCUGCUCCCCAGGGAGCAGAAUGCUACCCAGGUUGAUGUAUCCUGGUCUCCAGUCAGGAAGGCUUAGUUCAAAAAGCAUCCUUAAUUUUUAUUAUAAUAUGUUUUCACCGAAAAUCCUGUUUCCCUGGUGUUUAGACAAGAUGGGUAUUUUUCAGGAAAUGGGGAGAGACAGGCACACAUGUGUACAGCACAGUGGGUUACAACGCAGACUCUGGAGUCAGGAUGUCUGAGCUUAAAUCCAGGGCUGACCACUUGGACGCGCUAUUUGACACACUUUUCUUAUUUGUUUAAUAGGGAUGAUAUUAGAAGCUGCAUCAUAAGGCUGCUGGGAAGAUCAGCAAUGGUAAUGUAUGCAAAGCACUCAGCCCAGUGCUUGGCACACAGCAAGUGCUAGACAGACAUUUGCUACUGGGGAGCUGACUUCCCAAAGUGACCGAGGAGCCUGGUGGAUGCGAGAGCUCAUGAUGUCCAAAUGGUCUCUCGGAAGUCUGGGGAAGCUGGUGGACCACCCUGUCCCCCGAGUGUGGGAGUUAGGCAGUGCUGUAUUCAGUCCUGCCAGAGGGAUUCUCCAAGGGCCCUGCCUCUCUUCCACAGGCUGUUGCCAGGACCAAAGACAUGCCCAUCACAUGGGUUGGCUUCCAUUGGAGGUAUCUUUGCCUCAGCUGACGACAUGAACCCUUCUCUUCUAGCAACCUGUUUGUGUUGAUCAAAAUGUGUGAUUGCAGGUCCCAAGAAGAAGCUCUAUCUGUGGCAGCAGUUCUCAGUCAGAGGCAAUUUUACUCCCCAGGGGACAAAUGACGGGGUCUGGAGACAUUUUUGAUUGUAUCAAUUGGGGAGUGUGGGCUGCUCCUGGCAUCUAGUGGGCAGAGGCCAGGGAUGCUGUUGAACAUCCUACAAUGCAGAGGGCAGCCCCCCACAACUAAGAAUCAUCCAGCCCAAAUGCCGAUGGUGCCCAGGUUACGUAACUCUGGUCUAUACCUGUGUCUCUUGAAGUUUGGUUCUUGGGCUACCUGCAUCAGAAUAAGUUUGGGCUACGGGUUAGAAAUGCACAUUUUGGAGCUGAACCCCAGACUUACUAAGCGAGACUCUCUGGGGCUCCCUGCUGAUUCUGAAGAAGACCAUGGUUUAAUGGGAUUCCUUCCACGUGUCAUGCUUUGGAAAGUGGCCUUCGUGGGGCCUCCACAGACUCAUGUCCUCCUCUCUUGCUGUUUCGCUGACUCAUUCAGGAGACUGUGGAGGAUUAACACUGGAAGUUGCUUUAGGUACGGACACAUCUCCCCACCAGGUUCCAGGAUGUGCACAGGAGGCUGGGGCUGGUGAGUCAGAGGAAGGGCCUCAAAAGCCUGAAGGGACCAGUGAGAUCACUCCAUCCAAACUUCUUUUUGUAGAGGAGGAAACUGACAUCAUUAAGAGAAAAAAAAAAAAAGAAAGAAAGAAAGAAACCAUGCUAGGUAAAAUUCCAGAGUUGGUCACUGUUAUAUUCUUUCUUAUUUUCUUCCAUCUUAGUCAAAAUCAUAUAAAAAGGAAGUGGGGGAGGAAAAGCCGCAUGGAAGGAAGUGGAAAGGUGAGAGGCCUGGUAGCUGCAAAGAUGAAACUAAUGUUGAUUCUUCGGUGACGGAAGAGGAGGUGGCGAGGGGAGAGAUUUUAGGGUCCCAGCUCCCAGCCAGUCAACGGUGAGCCACUGACCCCUUCCUCUGUCGUCUCCAAGCAGCAGUGGCUCCUGCAUAGUCCGCAGGCCUGAGGUGAUGCCAGCUGACAAGGCCGUCAGCGACGAACAACCAGGGAAAUAUCAUUGGCCAUAUUUUUCUAACCUUCCUUUU
ensembl:lncRNA